rnacentral:tRNA from 1 species
AGGGUGUUAGUCCAAAAAAGACAGUUGAUUUCGGCUCAGCUAAUUAUGGUUUAAAUCCAUAACACCCCU